CACGUAGGGGGCAAGCGUUGUCCGGAUUUAUUGGGCGUAAAGAGCUCGUAGGCGGUUUCGUAAGUCGGGUGUGAAACUCUAGCUCAACCUCAGAGACGCCACCCGAUACUGCGAUGACUAGAGUCCGGUAGGGGAGUGUGGAAUUCCUGGUGUAGCGGUGAAAUGCGCAGAUAUCAGGAGGAACACCAACGGCGAAGGCAGCACUCUGGGCCGGAACUGACGCUGAGGAGCGAAAGCGUGGGUAGCGAACAGG
rnacentral:rRNA from 1 species